GGGCGGCACAGUUGAUGUCAUGAUGCAAGUAGGGAGGUGUAAAGGACAAUUAUUAAAUGUGUUUUUAUUAUUAAUAAUAAUAGUAUCUCUUUCAUUAACAUUGCAGGUACAUAAUAAAAAACCAAAUGAAUCAGAAAUAGGAGAGACAACAGAACCGAAAGCUUGCCUCAGAAUUGUGAAAGUGCCUGGAAUAUUUCUGUGCCAUAUAUUAUUAAUCAUUAUCAUUAUUAAUACCAUUAUUAUCGUAAAACAAAAUUGCCACUCUGAAAAUGCAAACAUCGUUUUUUUUUAUGAAUGUGGCUAGAUUGUCUUCAUCUUCUUCUCAUUUUUGAUUUAUAUACACAAUGUCAUAGAAUACAAGAAAACCACUGAAACACGCUCCUCUGCAGAGCCCGCUCUCUCAAAAUGUAUCAAAAGCUACUGUUUGUUUUCUGCGGGUUCAGGUAUGACAGUCGGAAAGUGACAUUCCUCUUAAUGAUAUACCAAGCCCCCAACCAAGCAGGCCACAGAACACUGAAGAAAAAGACCAACACUUUGAAAAGUUAAACCAAAGGGUCAAUAUUUUGACAGACCAGAAGAGAUUUAGGAAACCGUUAAUUGGUUUUCUCUUUGCGUAUAGGUUAACUUACUUUGCAUAAUGUGUGGCUCUACAGGCAAUUAAAUACACUGUCUGACUGUGUCUCUUUAGAAGCUGCUAGCUCUAUGAGGUAUCAGUUUAACAAUGAUACGAUGUUGGAUUCUAUCUAUAAAAUCAAUCUGGUCAAAUCCUGUAAAAUAUUGUGUUGUACUUCAUAGGAUUACUCUCACAAGAGGUAUGUAUGACACGGUGAUUGGGUUUAUGAGUGCACAGUCUCUCGUCGAUGUUCUCUUGGAGACAUUAGCUCAGUCAUGGCAACAUUAGAGUGACAUGCAUUGUAUCAGGACCAACCCACCACAGGUCUAAUGGCACCUCCACAGUGCCUCUCAACCAAGCUUUAUAUCCUGGUAAAGAAUGACGUUGGGGUCUUUUAAGUAACUCUAGUUGCUUUAUUGGACUUCAUGACAUCAUAUAUUGGCCAAUCAAAAGAAGGAAAAAAAGAAAUCUAUGUAAAGCCCUAAAAUGUGAAUCAUGUGGCGGAUUUCUGAUAUAGUUUCUUCAAAACGCACAAUUUAACUUUGGUCUCACUUGCUUGUAAAUAAUGAGGAUAAUGUUCAAGUUCUUGUAAUAUUUUGGACCACUCAAAAGUUGAAAGGGUUUCAAUUGAAUUUUAGAGGAAUCAAAAUGGACACUUGCCUAGCUUGCCACUAAUCGUAGAGACAUUUCUCUUGGGUCAAAUAACAUGAUUUGCUCCUGUAUUUUGGUCCCUUUGUAUAGUCAAAGACAGUCACAUGGUAUGCUGAACAUUUCUUCUUAUAGGAACAUACGUAUGACAAUAACACGGAACAUAUCGUAGAGGUCAACUGUGUUCAUUGUGUCAUUCUUUUAAAAUGGCUGCCAUCCUUCUUCAUAGGGAGCAAGGAGGCACUACUUCAAGGUUACCCGGUAUUUAUGUGCGGUGGGAGAAUGAAGAUAUUUAUUAUGAAUUUGCUUUGAGAAAUGUCUUCUGAUGUGAAUUGUGUUUUAUCUUUAAAUACACUGACAUAGUAUUUCAUAGGUUGAAUACAUAUCUAGUUGCUAUGAACACUCCUCAGUGAUGAAAAAGUCUUGGAAACACAAACAUACAUUGCCCCAUCCAAUAAUGAUAUUAGGACUUCAUGAAAACAUCUAAAAUACAUUUUUU
ensembl:lncRNA